rnacentral:tRNA from 1 species
GUCGACUUAGCCAAGUGGUUCAAGGCGUUGGUCUUGAAAACCAAUGGGCUCCGCCCGCGUAGGUUCGAAUCCUGCAGUCGACG